rnacentral:rRNA from 11 species
GAAUAUGAAUUAAAUACCCUAAAGGUGCCAGAUCCCAUCUGAUCUUGGAAGCUAAUUAGAGACGGCCCUGGUUGGAAUUUGGAUGAGAGACCACCAACAAAUAUCAGGUGCUGUAGGCU